GUCCCUGUGGCACAAUGGUUAAGUUCUUGGCUAGUAACCAAAAGGUUGGUGGUUCAAAUCCACCCAGUGGCU
rnacentral:tRNA from 1 species